rnacentral:rRNA from 1 species
UGCGCAGGCGGUUUUGUAAGCCAGAUGUGAAAUCCCCGGGCUUAACCUGGGAAUGGCAUUUGGGACUGCAAGGCUGGAGUGUGGCAGAGGAGACUGGAAUUCCUGGUGUAGCAGUGAAAUGCGUAGAUAUCAGGAGGAAUACCGAUGGCGAAGGCAGGUCUCUGGGCUGACACUGACGCUCAUGCACGAAAGCGUGGGGAGCAAACAGGAUUAGAUACCCUGGUAGUCCACGCCCUAAACGAUGUCGACUGGUUGUUGGGGGUUUGACACUCUCAGUAACGAAGCUAACGCGUGAAGUCGACCGCCUGGGGAGUACGGCCGCAAGGUUAAA